rnacentral:lncRNA from 1 species
CUCCGCCCCGCCCAAGGCCCCGCCCACCGCGCUGACGCCUGCCCCACUGCGGCCGCCUGCGAGGUAAGCACGCGCUUCUCGGCCUCUAAACUUCCAAACAGGCCCCUCCACACAGCCCCUCAGGGUGCUGAAGGAGUUACCGUAAUCAGACUCGUUAUCAGAAACAUUUUUUUUAAAAGCUCAUGAACGCUCCAAGGCCUCACCCACAGUUAAUCCAACUUUAAUGGCCUUAUCUUACCAGCUCCGGCCUGGCCUCCGAGUCCAGCCUCCAUCAUUUCCGGGGGAGGGCGGGACUUCCUGUCUGGGGAGGAGCCAAUUGGGAACGGGUUCUGCUGCCUGUGGACCCGAUUGGCUGAAUGCUUUUCAAAGUCCCAGUCUCUUUUAUUCUCUUCAAUUAAAAAGAGAGCAAGACAAAAGAAAAGAAGGAAACAGAAAUGACCUGAAUCCUCAAGGAAGAAUUGAGUCUAUUGAUAGAAAUGAUGAAAAGCAUUACAAGAACUGGGUGAGAUUGUUUUUGGACUUAGGUUCUGGGUGGGGGGGGAAACACAUUAAAUCUAUUCUAAUUUCUGAUUACGACCAAAAAAAUACAAACACAACAAAUCUUUUAUGA